AUAAAAGCUCGUGUCCAUCAAAACAACGUACUGCUUUUGAUGCAAUUGAAUCAAUAAAUUUUAAAAUAAGCAGAAUUUAUGAUGUCUAUCAGCAACGACAAGUCGCAUAAUAUGUCUUAUCGUUCGAUAUGAUUCUGCGUUUUAUCUUCAUCUAUGUGGACUUACCGAAAAAGGGAGUUCCUUGCAGUAGAACUCUUAAUUACGCAACACGAGACACAAAAGUACACGUGGAUAUAUAGACGAACUGUCAAAUGGAGAAAUUUUUCUUGAUUGCCAUCAGUUUUUUCAGUGAACCUUCAAACUUCCGUAAUGGAGCCGCCUGCUGACUGAACUACGAAGCACACUUUAAACUCGCAAUUGUCCUACUGAUUACUCAAUGGAUAAAGGAUUUCUCAAUUUAUUAUAUUAAAUAGAUCUAAAGAAUAUUAUAGAUAUUGUACCAAAGACAAAAAUUAUUUGUACCCAUUUUAAAAGCAAAUUGUCUGUAAGCUUUCUCUCACAAUAAUCCUACGUUAUUACAAUUAGUCAUAUGAAUUUGUUCAGUAUUUUUGUCAGUUAGCAAUGGAAGUACUCAUUCAAUAUUCAAGGAUGAAAAUUAAAUAUUCCUACACUUUUUUCAAUU